CCUACGGGCGGCUGCAGUGGGGAAUUUUGGACAAUGGGCGCAAGCCUGAUCCAGCAAUGCCGCGUGAGUGAAGAAGGCCUUCGGGUUGUAAAGCUCUUUCAGUCGAGAAGAAAAGAUUACUGAUAAUACCAGUAAUCCAUGACGGUAUCGACAGAAGAAGCACCGGCUAACUACGUGCCAGCAGCCGCGGUAAUACGUAGGGUGCGAGCGUUAAUCGGAAUUACUGGGCGUAAAGGGUGCGCAGGCGGUUAUGUAAGUCAGAUGUGAAAUCCCCGGGCUUAACCUGGGAACUGCGUUUGAAACUACAGGACUAGAGUGUGGCAGAGGGGGGUGGAAUUCCAUGUGUAGCAGUGAAAUGCGUAGAGAUAUGGAAGAACAUCGAUGGCGAAGGCAGCCCCCUGGGUUAACACUGACGCUCAUGCACGAAAGCGUGGGGAGCAAACAGGAUUAGAUACCCGAGUAGUC
rnacentral:rRNA from 1 species